rnacentral:rRNA from 1 species
UAAGCGGAGGAAAAGAAACUAACAAGGAUUCCCCUAGUAACUGCGAGUGAAGCGGGNAAAGCUCAAAUUUAAAAUCUGNUGGUCUUUGGCCAUCCGAGUUGUAAUUUAGAGAAGCGUUUUCCGCGCUGGACCGUGCACAAGUCUCCUGGAAUGGAGCGUCAUAGAGGGUGAGAAUCCCGUCUUUGGCACGGACACACCAGGGCUUUUGUGAUGCGCUCUCGAAGAGUCGAGUUGUUUGGGAAUGCAGCUCAAAAUGGGUGGUGAACUCCAUCUAAAGCUAAAUAUUGGCGAGAGACCGAUAGCGAACAAGUACCGUGAGGGAAAGAUGAAAAGCACUUUGGAAAGAGAGUGAAACAGUACGUGAAAUUGUUGAAAGGGAAACGCUUGAAGUCAGUCGCGUCGACCGAGACUCAGCCUUGCCUUGGGCUUGGUGUACUUCUCGGCUGACGGGUCAGCAUCAAUUUCGCCCCUUGGAUAAUGGCGAGGGAAAUGUGACACCUUUAUGGUGUGUUAUAGUCCCUUGUCGCAUGCAAGGGUUGGGAUUGAGGAACUCAGCACGCGCCUUUGGGUGUCGGGGCUUUGCCCACGAUACGUGCUUAGGAUGUGGCGUAANGGNNUUNANCNACC